CAUUCAACUAUGUGUAUUGUUGAUUUACAUGGAAAAUAUGCCUAAGUGUUGAUUCCUUCUGUCUAUUGGGUGUUAACUUGCUAGAAAUGUGUAUAUGAAGCAUGCAAUUAUGUGUAUUACUUUAUGUAAUUAUGUGUAUUACUUAUUUGGAUGGAAAGCAUGUUUAAGUGUUAAUUUUUCAUGCUCAUUAUGUUGUUAUUUUGGUAGAAAUGUUAUGUGAGAGCAUGUGAAAUUUUCUUGUGUAGAUUAAGUUGAAAUUGUUGAAGAAUGAUGAAUACAUAUGUAUGGCAUGACAUGUCCAUGCAUGAGCAUUUGGAGGAAAAUAGGAAUAAUUUGUUUGAAAUGAAAAAGGAGAAUUUUGGGAAGAAAUUUUGAUUAAAUGAUUUUGAGAAAACCCAGUCGCCGUGGAGUCACCAAAGAGCCGGUGUGUUAAUAUAACCUAGAGGGAACUAGAGGAAAAUACCUUAGCGUGAUUGAGCUAGCUGGGCCCCAAAUGACGCCGCGAGGAUACCAAGGGUCAGGGACAGUAGCCAACCAUUCUCUCGUGUCGUUGCGGAGUCACCAAAGGACGGGUAAUAUUAACAGUUUGUGAAAAAAUGGAUGCUUUCUUAAAAUGGGGAGUGACAUGCAUAAUAUUGCAUUCAUGGCAUGACAUUUGCUUGUUUUGAACUUGGAAUUGAUAUUGUAUAUUUUUUUUCGGCUUAGCAUGAUCCCGUUUCCUAUUGUCUUAUUCAUUGUUUGGAUUCACGAGGUCAUGAGAAGUGUGUCUUAGGCACCACCUACUUAGCUUUAUGCUCACCCUAUCAUUUAAAAUAUUUUUCAGGACAUGGAAAGGAGGUGGCAAACAUGUAAUGGGAGCCGUUUGCGGCAAAACGGAGAGCACGGCAAGAUCUUCAAGGGGGUGUAAGCAAUUUCAGUUUUGGUGCACUCUAGGGAGUUCGAAAGUAUAGGGUUCUUAGGCUCAAAUUGGGGAUUUUCAUCAAUUUGAGGACAUGGAAGGGAGGUGGUGGAUGACGAUCCACCACAGAUUUAGACAAGCUUGAAGACCCAUUUUAUUUUGUUACCUUUUGUAUUAGAAUUCUAAUAUUUUGUAAAUGUAAUAUUAACUAUCUUGUGAAACUUUAGUUUAAUUAGUAUAAUGUUGUAAGCUAUGGACUAUUAAAUUUUAGCUACAUUUUAUGGACUGUAACUUGAUGCAACUAAAGUAUACUCCUUAUUUGGAUGAGAUGGAGGAAUGGGACAUUUUCAUAUGUAUGUAACCAUCUUGGGAAUGUGUUAUAAUAUAUGUAUUGUGCGUUGGGACAUGAUAGGUUAUUUUUAAGGCCCAGUGAGGCCAUUACACUUUUUUUUUUUGUAUUUCAACAGGUUAUAAAGGGACUUUUUCUGUGGGGUCAUGCCGAAAUUAUAUAUAUAUUAUUAUCAUUAUUUUGGUAUCUUUCCGGGUCGUUACAAAUUUGGUAUCAGAGCGAUGGUUCGAAUACCAUUAGGACGACGCGUAGAGACCUACCUGGGA